GAUGAACGCUGGCGGCGUGCCUAAUACAUGCAAGUCGAGCGAACAGACGAGGAGCUUGCUCCUCUGACGUUAGCGGCGGACGGGUGAGUAACACGUGGAUAACCUACCUAUAAGACUGGGAUAACUUCGGGAAACCGGAGCUAAUACCGGAUAAUAUAUUGAACCGCAUGGUUCAAUAGUGAAAGACGGUUUUGCUGUCACUUAUAGAUGGAUCCGCGCCGCAUUAGCUAGUUGGUAAGGUAACGGCUUACCAAGGCAACGAUGCGUAGCCGACCUGAGAGGGUGAGCGGCCACACUGGAACUGAGACACGGUCCAGACUCCUACGGGAGGCAGCAGUAGGGAAUCGUCCGCAAUGGGCGAAAGCCUGACGGAGCAACGCCGCGUGAGUGAUGAAGGUCUUCGGAUCGUAAAACUCUGUUAUUAGGGAAGAACAAAUGUGUAAGUAACUAUGCACGUCUUGACGGUACCUAAUCAGAAAGCCACGGCUAACUAC
rnacentral:rRNA from 1 species